GAUGAACGCUGGCGGCGUGCCUAAUACAUGCAAGUCGAGCGAACGGUCGAGAAGCUGGCUUCUCUGAUGUUAGCGGCGGACGGGUAAGUAACACGUGGAUAACCUACCUAUAAGACUGGGAUAACGUCGGGAAACCGGGGCUAAUACCGGAUAAUAUUUUGAACCGCAUGGUUCAAAAGUGAAAGUAGGUCUUGCUGUCACUUAUAGAUGGAUCCGCGCUGCAUUAGUUAGUUGGUAAGGUAACGGCUUACCAAGGCAAGGAUGCAUAGACCAACUGAGAGGGUGACCGGCUACACUGGCACUGAGACAGGGUCCCGACCCCUACGGGCGGCAGCAGUAGGGAAUCGUCCGCAAUGGACGAAUGCCUGACGGAGCACCUCCGCGUGCGUGAUGAAGGUCUUCGGCUCGUAAAGCUCUGUUAUUAGGGAAGAACCUACGUGUUAGUACCUGUGCACAUCUUGACGGUACCGAAUCAGAAAGCCACGGCUAACUACGUG
rnacentral:rRNA from 1 species